AUGUCACUUCGUGAUUUUUGUCGGGUUUGUUUGAUCCCUUUUGAAGGCAGCGUAGAGGAACCACAUCGUGAUGAUGUGGAUGGAUUUAUUGAUACAAUUGCUGUAGGGGAAACAAGGAAGGUUUCCGAUGCAAGAAUUACUAGCAUGCAUUUUCUGGUUUUACGUUACUUUGAAAUAUUUGCUAGUAGAUGCUUAAUUGGUCGCGGAAACUACGGCAACCUUAGUGCCCCUGAUAUUGUUAUUUUGUGCCAUGCCUUGUUCCGUGAUGACACAUUUAGUCUGGGCGCUAUUGUUGCAAAGCGGUUAAAUCUUAACCGUACGAAGGGCCCCAUCUUGGGAGGUAUCUUUGCCUCGCGCCUUGCUGAACAUUUUUAA
rnacentral:rRNA from 1 species